CAGGGCAGGAUCAACUCACAAGGCCAAGAGCUCUAGUUCAGAGGAGUGGCACUGCAAUGUAGAAGCUGAGGAAAAGUUCGAUGUGAAAGAUAAAUAAGGUACUCAGUGCUGCUGUCCAUUCAGCAGCAUCAACCAUGGAAAUGUUUGAUUUAUUGCAGAAGGGAAUUGAAACACUAUCUUCACUGUGCCGUGGCUGGCGAACACUUUGAUUUUUCUUCUCAGAGAAUCCAUCUUCAUAAAGCCCUUGUUAACUGGGUCAGUCAGCAAGCAAGGACUCUCCCCCCUUCCAUGUAAGCUCUUUACAAUGCCUUGCCGAGAGCACUUGCUCUGUGGCAAGGCUGCAGCCUUGACUAUGCCUAGAUCUAACCUUGCAAAUAUGGCCAGCCUUAACUCUGAAAUCCGAACAAAGAGUGCAUCAUGAGAUGCACAUGUAGAAAUUUUUUUUGGACCCAGAAGUUACAUAUUUUUGUCAUAAGUUGCUCAUACUAGCUAGUAGCUACACUGUGACACCUUAUAAAUCUCCCAAAUAAGAUCAAAGUAAAAUGGGAACUGCACCAUAGCAAAAAAUGUUACAGGCAGGCAUGCUACUGCAUAUACUGGGAUUGCAGCAUAUUUCACUUCAUCUAUAAGAAGAAAGAAGUGACCCCCCGUACAUAAAGUGAACAGCAUGGCUGCUAUGGAUAUGAAAAGAGAUGUUAAACCCAACAAAAGCUUUCUAGGCAAGUCUCUACCAAAAGCUUUGCCUUUGGUACCUAAAGGUGAGAAUGGCGAGAAACUAAUGUUACUGCAGAGGUCACUGAGCAGAAGAGAGCAACUACUGAUGAAAUUUCAUAUACACAAAAGCAUUGAUUGGCCGCUGUUUAAGAGCUGGUUUGCUGCAGUACUCUUCUUUGUUGCCCCCUGGUUCAGGGAGUGAUCUUUCAAUAGGCAACCAUCAGCUAAUUUGCAGCAAAGGAGCAUGAAUGGAGGUGCUAAGCUGCAUGAUGAAUUCGAUGCCCCUCAGUAAUUUCUUCAUCGGCCACAAGAAGGAAAACCCGUCUCCAAAAGAUGUCCACCCUUAAGGAGAGGCACACAGAUAGGAUAGAAAAUGGGUUGUGGCGCGUGGAUAACUAGCACGUCCCGUUCCUGCUCCAUUGCAGCACCCUCAUGGGAAAAACAACCAGCAGGUCAAUUUCCUCAGUUAAUGUUGUUCCUGGGCUCCUCAGUAAUUAGCCUCCUUAGUCGCAAUAUUUCUCGCCAUUCUCACCUCUAGGUACCAAGAUAAAGAUUUUGGUACGGACUUGCCCUGGAAGCUUUUGCUGGGUUUGACAUCUCUCCUCAUAUCCAUAGAAGGCAUGUUGAUCACGAUGAGUUUGUGUACGUGGGGGGGCAUUUCUUUGUCCUUAUAGAUGAAGUGAAAAUGCUGCAUUUCCGGCAUAUGCAGUAGCACGCCUGCCAGUAGCAUUUUUUGCUGUGGUGGAGUUCCCAUCAUACUCUGAUCUUAUAUGGGCGAUUUUUAAGGAGGUGUCACGGUGUGGCUACAAGGAGGAUGUCAAGAGCUUUUUACCUGUCUUUGAGCUUGGUCAUGUAAUCGAGGGUUUUUAACAACCAUGUGCGAUUAUGAUAUUAGAAUAUUUUUUAUGAAGUGAUUUUUGUGACGAA